GAUGAACGCUGACAGAAUGCUUAACACAUGCAAGUCGAUGGGGAAGUGGUGCUUGCACCAUGGCAACCAUGGCGGACGGGUGAGUAACGCGUAAGGGACUUACCUGCAGGACUGGGAUAACAGGGGGAAACUCCUGACAAGACCGGAUAAUGUCAUGGAGCUGCAUGGCUUUAUGAUGAAAGGAGACGCCUGCGGAGAGCCUUGCGUCCUAUUAGCUAGUUGGUGAGGUAAUGGCUCACCAAGGCGAAGAUAGGUAGCCGGCCUGAGAGGGUGGACGGCCACAAGGGGACUGAGAUACGGCCCUUACUCCUACGGGAGGCAGCAGUGGGGAAUAUUGGACAAUGGGGGCAACCCUGAUCCAGCAAUUCUGUGUGCACGAAGAAGGUUUUCGGAGUGUAAAGCGCUUUCAGCAGGGAAGAAGUAAGUGACGGUACCUGCAGAAGAAGCGACGGCUAAAUACGUG
rnacentral:rRNA from 1 species